rnacentral:lncRNA from 1 species
AUGCGGCGCGGUCCAGGCCCGUCGCGGCCUCGUCCUGUCAGGAACACCUGCGGGCCUCAUGGUCCGACGCCUCCGGUCCCGCGCCGGCCUCGGUUUCCCCAUGCAGCGGGGCGGGGCGGGGGGCAGCGCGGGUCUCAAAGCUGCCUGCAGGGGGCGCCCGUGAGCGACGCGGCCGGAGCGGGAGCCCGAGCGGCCGCCGAGACAGCGGGAGCAGGCUCGCGAGCCGCAGGUCAGCCGGGGUGCAGGGUCCCGGGUGCCGGGGUGCGGAGUCCUGGGUGCCGGGGGUCCGGGGCUGGCGGCCGGGCGGCUUGGGGCCGUCGGAGGUGCGCGGCCAGGAGGGCUGGGAGGCUGGGGUUCCCUCCCCUCAGGGUUCCUUUCCUGCCGCCCCAAGACCAGUUCCCCGGCGCGGGUCCGAGUUCUGCCCCGCGGCGGCGCCGGCACGACCUGUGCAGGGCCAGGCACACUCACGUCCCGGGCACAGUCCCGGCGCCGCGUGCGGACCCCGCGAGCCGCCUCAAACUGCACCGGAAGGCGCGCGGGGUAGGCGGGGAGCGAAGGCAAGUGCGGCGGCCGACGCGGCGCGGGGUGCGGAGCCGCAGGUGGCGGGCAGGGAGCGUCCGUCCGUCCGUCCGUCCGGGCGCCACGGACCGGCCCCGCGCGCUCGCACGACCCUUCCGGGAGUUCCUCCAGCGGGGAUGGGCUGGGGGGCGCAGCGGCGCGUCCCGAGGGCGGGCAGCCGGGGCGAAGAAGGAUCCCCAGGUGGAGGGGCCGGGCCGAGGCCGGUUCCCCGGGGAAGGUGCGGCGCAGGCAGAGGCACCCGAGCGCCCGGGCGAGCCGAGGAAGGGGCAGUCUGGAACGCUAGGCAGAGCGCGGGCGCGUCCCGUGGACAGUGGUGACGGGAACUGGGUUUGGGGGACGCAGGCGAGGACGGGGGACGGGAGGGGUGGGUGCGUGCCUCGGACUGGCCCUGGCCGUCUACAUGGCUGCCCGGAGCGGAGGUAG